CAGUAGCCGCGGGAAAACGAAGGGGGCUAGCGUUACUCGGAAUUACUGGGCGUAAAGGGCGCGUAGGCGGCACGAUUAGUCAGGCGUGAAAUUCCUGGGCUCAACCUGGGGACUGCGCUUGAUACGGUCGAGCUAGAGGAUGGAAGAGGGUCGUGGAAUUCCCAGUGUAGAGGUGAAAUUCGUAGAUAUUGGGAAGAACACCGGUGGCGAAGGCGGCGACCUGGUCCAUUACUGACGCUGAGGCGCGACAGCGUGGGGAGCAAACAGGAUUAGAUACCCCCGUAGUCCCUGUCUCUUAUAA
rnacentral:rRNA from 1 species